UGACAUACCACUUGUUGCCUCGGCGGAUCAGCCCGCUCCCGGUAAAACGGGACGGCCCGCCAGAGGACCCCUAAACUCUGUUUCUAUAUGUAACUUCUGAGUAAAACCAUAAAUAAAUCAAAACUUUCAACAACGGAUCUCUUGGUUCUGGCAUCGAUGAAGAACGCAGCAAAAUGCGAUAAGUAAUGUGAAUUGCAGAAUUCAGUGAAUCAUCGAAUCUUUGAACGCACAUUGCGCCCGCCAGUAUUCUGGCGGGCAUGCCUGUUCGAGCGUCAUUUCAACCCUCAAGCACAGCUUGGUGUUGGGACUCGCGUUAAUUCGCGUUCCUCAAAUUGAUUGGCGGUCACGUCGAGCUUCCAUAGCGUAGUAGUAAAACCCUCGUUACUGGUAAUCGUCGCGGCCACGCCGUUAAACCCCAACUUCUGAAUGUUGACCUCGGAUCAGGUAGGAAUACCCGCUGAACUUAAGCAUAUCAAU
rnacentral:rRNA from 2 species